UUUUUUUUUUUGUAUGAAAAAUCAAGGAUAAUACUUCCCUUUUGAUAACUUACUAUAAAUUACAGAACACUGUUACUCGUGUACUGAUAACAAAUCUAUCACCGUGCAUUUCUUCAGACCUGGACUUGCUUCGCAUUUCAUGAGGAUCUGGGUUUAAUUUCUAUAAAGCAAAGCAAACCCUCUCAGCGAAGGCAAGCAGGGGCUAGGAUGGGUUGUAAGGUGAUUCGGGUCAGCUAACAGAACACUGGAGUGACGCUUGGUAUCUGCUAGCUGGCGGGUGAGUGGUCUGGGCUGAGUGAAAUGAGAGGCUAUCAGGGCUGGAUGGAGGUCUGGGAAACAAUCGACUGCUUUGAUUUGGGAGCCAUUCUUCACAAUGUGACCUGAAAUCCUAGCUCAUGGUGACUCACCUCUUUGAAACAGGUAAGCCUGCUGGUCAGAGUCGCUGGUUCUCGCCCCAUGCCGGCACUGCAUUUCCAUCAAGGACUGCCUACUGGGGUGAAAAGCAAGACCACCAGUGAUGUUCUAUAGCCCUGCAACACGACACCAGUAAGCAGCCAACAGAAGUGUGAGUGUGGGAAACAAGUCAAAAACACCAGGCCGGACUUCAUGAGAAAACUGACCCUGACUGGGGAUACAGCUCAGGGCCUGAGUGCUUGCCUAAUAGGCACACGGCACUAAACCCUCAGUGCCAUAAGACACAGUAAAGCACCCAGAACAAAAGACUAACUGGGAUAGAAUGGGUUAAAGGCACUAAGUUGGGCUGUAUAAAAUCAGGAACUUUGCUUUUUCCUUUUCUUUUUCUUUUUUCGUUCUUAAAAAAAAAAAAGAUUUAUU
rnacentral:lncRNA from 1 species